rnacentral:piRNA from 1 species
UGACCUCAAACCAUCCUC